CUGUGUGUGUGUGUUUUAAUCAGCAUUCAUGUAUUUGUGUGUAUUUGAAUGUAUGUAUCUAUUUUUUUGUGUCUGUGUGUCCCUCCGUGUGUCGUGUGUGUGUCCGUGUGCGUGUCUGUGCGUGUGUAUGUACAGGUGGAGAGGCUCAGUGACGAGCUUUGCUCCAUGCGAGCAGCACACACCGAGGCUGCAGAAGCCCAGAGGAAAUGCACAGAGCUGCAGACAGAGCUCCAGGAGAGCCAAAGUGCUGCUCAGGAGGCUAGCAGAGAGGCGAAGGAGGAAGGCCAGGAGCUGCGGUGUGAGGUGACGCUCCUGAAGUCUCAGCUAGACUCUGCCAGUCAGCAGCUGCAGGACCAGACCUCCGAGCUUCAGAGUGUCCGGAAGGCACGGGAGGAACUGCGGGGCCGAGAGCGGGAGUGGGGGAGCGUGAGGGACACCUUGCAGGCCCAACUCCGCCAGGCCCGAGAGGAGCUCCACAACGCCACCUGCAGGCAGCAGCAGGAGAGAGAGGCGCAGAUUGAGGAGCUCCAGCACCAAGUGGACCAGACACUGGCACAAGUGGAGCAGGAGAGGGAGGACUGGUCCAAGGAGGAGGUGAAGAGGUUGAGAGAGGAGCAACUUCAGCUGGAGGAGAAGGUAUCUGUUUACCCUCUCUCUGUGUAGUCACUGUCCAUAACUCUGUACUGAAGUUCAGACAUGGCUAU
rnacentral:lncRNA from 1 species